GUCAGGCCAGGGAGGGGACUUACCGGCUGUACCAGCUGCUGCUCGAACAGAGGGGUAAGGAACCCACUGGGACACGGAACCCAUCAGGGGACUGAAAGGGACCACAGGGCUGAGCAUACACGAGGUGGAGGAUCUGUGGUGCCACAACUGGUACCAGGACAGCAGGCUCCUGGGCUAUAAAAACACAGCCAGGGUGGGGGAGGUCUUUGGAAAAUUCUUCUCUGCGGGGCAGAGGAAAUGCUUCCUCAAGACAGCCGUGCCAGCGAUCUACAACCCCCUGCUGUGCAUUAGCCAGGCUGGGCUUCUCCUCACAUACGCCAUCCUGGGGGAAGCCGAGCAACUGCUGGGGUACACGCUGGAGGACAUCACCGCCAAGGUGAUGGGUCAGCUCCGCAGCAUCCGGCAGCUGCACCAGGUGCCUGAGGUGCUGCAAGGGCUGAGCCUCACCUGAUGCCCUUAAAGGUCCCCCCUCAGCAACUCCCGCUCCCUGCUGCAGAUCUUCGCACGGGUCGGCUUGCUGCAGGAGACAUUGACGGACAUCAUCAUCUACAGUGCCAACUGGAAGGAACAGCUCCAGCUGCGGGCGCUGGGCAGAGCAGGACUCACCGCAAACCGAACCAAAUGUCACCUGGGCCAGAAAGAACUGAUCUACCCGGGCUAUACGGUGGGCUAAGGGAAAAUACGGCCUUUGGUAUCUGAGCCACAAGCUGUUCUAUCUAAUAGGGAACCCCUUCUCCUUGGUAACAGACCACGCACCCCUCAGGUGGAUUAACAGCAUGAAGGACUCACACACACGGAUCAUGUGGUGGUACAUGUCCCUCCAACCCUAUUCCUUUCGAGUGUUAC